rnacentral:rRNA from 1 species
GACGAACGCUGGCGGCGUGCCUAAUACAUGCAAGUUGAGCGAUGAAGAUUGGUGCUUGCACCAAUUUGAAGAGCAGCGAACGGGUGAGUAACGCGUGGGGAAUCUGCCUUUGAGCGGGGGACAACAUUUGGAAACGAAUGCUAAUACCGCAUAACAACUUUAAACAUAAGUUUUAAGUUUGAAAGAUGCAAUUGCAUCACUCAAAGAUGAUCCCGCGUUGUAUUAGCUAGUUGGUGAGGUAAAGGCUCACCAAGGCGAUGAUACAUAGCCGACCUGAGAGGGUGAUCGGCCACAUUGGGACUGAGACACGGCCCAAACUCCUACGGGAGGCAGCAGUAGGGAAUCUUCGGCAAUGGACGAAAGUCUGACCGAGCAACGCCGCGUGAAUGAAGAAGGUUUUCGGAUCGUAAAACUCUGUUGGUAGAGAAGAACGUUGGUGAGAGUGGAAAGCUCAUCAAGUGACGGUAACUACCCAGAAAGGGACGGCUAACUACGUG